rnacentral:rRNA from 1 species
CAAAUGAAUUGACGGGACCCGCACAAGCGGUGGAUGAUGUGGUUUAAUUCGAUGCAACGCGAAAACCUUACCCACCUUUGACGUGGCAGGAAUCCCGAAGAGAUUUGGGAGUGCUCGAAAGAGAACCUGCACACAGGUGCUGCAUGGCUGUCGUCAGCUCGUGUCGUGAGAUGUUGGGUUAAGUCCCGCAACGAGCGCAACCCUUGCCAUUAGUUGCUACGAAAGGGCACUCUAAUGGGACUGCCGGUGACAAACCGGAGGAAGGUGGGGAUGACGUCAAGUCCUCAUGGCCCUUAUAGGUGGGGCUACACACGUCAUACAAUGGCCGGUACAGAGGGUAGCCAACCCGCGAGGGGGAGCCAAUCCCACAAAGCCGGUCGUAGUCCGGAUCGCAGUCUGCAACUCGACUGCGUGAAGUCGGAAUCGCUAGUAAUCGCGGAUCAGCAUGUCGCGGUGAAUACGUUCCCGGGUCUU